UACGUAGGGGGCCAGCGUUGUCCGGAAUCAUUGGGCGUAAAGCGCGCGUAGGCGGCCAGAUAAGUCCGGUGUGAAAGUCAAAGGCUCAACCUUUGAAUGCCGCUGGAAACUGUCUGGCUUGAGUCCGGAAGGGGCGAGUGGAAUUCCGCGUGUAGCAGUGAAAUGCGUAGAGAUGCGGAGGAACACCGAUGGCGAAGGCAGCCCCCUGGGCUGACACUGACGCUGAGGCACGAAAGCGUGGGGAGCAAACAGG
rnacentral:rRNA from 1 species